rnacentral:tRNA from 1 species
GGUGUAGCUCAGUGGUAGAGUGCAUGUUUAGCAUGCAUGAGGUCCUGGGUUCAAUCCCCAGUACC